ACACAAGGCAGGAGGAUUUAAGUUCUCUUAGAUUUGUAUAGGGUCUAAUGGGGAGCAAAUUUUUCCGUUUAAACUACUUUUAUUGUUUUUUAUUUUGAUUUACUUUAUCUGAAGUAACAGAUAUGGAAAAAAUAUGACUUUUUCAUAAUACUAAGCUCUAUUGUUACAAAGAAAGAUGCCACUAUCAAAAUGACAAAAAUUAGAAACAAUGUUACAAACAAUUUGGCUACAAUCUAACUCUACUAGGUCUAGAAGAUCAUUUCUCAAUUUGUGAACUAUCAAACCCUUGGAGGUUCCUGAGACGCUUUGCAGGGGACGUCUACGGAGUUCUGGAUUUCUCUCUAAUACAUCAAGGCAGAAGAACAAACAUCUGUCAUCUAACUGCGUAAGAUGAACAGAAGUAUCUUGCAACAUCACUCAUAGGAACUACUAGAUGUACAAUACAAUGAUCAAGUUGAAAAUAUAUGGAAUUUACUUUCCUGAAAAGGAAAUGCCUUUCAUUAUAUGCAAAAUAUCAGCUUGAUAAAUGAUGCUGGUUAUUUUAAUAAAACAUUUUCAUAUACCAGAGGGAAGAAAA